rnacentral:rRNA from 1 species
CAGUAGCCGCGGUAAUACGUAGGUGGCAAGCGUUGUUCGGAAUUACUGGGCGUAAAGCGCGCGUAGGCGGUUACUCAAGUCAGAGGUGAAAGCCCGGGGCUCAACCCCGGAACUGCCUUUGAAACUAGGUGACUAGAAUCUUGGAGAGGUCAGUGGAAUUCCGAGUGUAGAGGUGAAAUUCGUAGAUAUUCGGAAGAACACCAGUGGCGAAGGCGACUGACUGGACAAGUAUUGACGCUGAGGUGCGAAAGCGUGGGAGCAAACAGGACUAGAUACCCCGGUAGUCCCUGUCUCUUAUACA